rnacentral:tRNA from 1 species
GUUUCCGUGGUUUAGUGGUUAUCACGUGCGCCUCACACGCGCAAGGUCCCCGCUUCGAUCCCGGGCGGAAACA